rnacentral:rRNA from 1 species
CAGCAGCCGCGGUAAUACGUAGGGUGCGAGCGUUAAUCGGAAUUACUGGGCGUAAAGCGUGCGUAGGUGGUGGUUUAAGUCCGUUGUGAAAGCCCUGGGCUCAACCUGGGAAUUGCAGUGGACACUGGGUCACUAGAGUGUGGUAGAGGAUAGUGGAAUUUCCGGUGUAGCAGUGAAAUGCGUAGGGAUCGGAAGGAACAUCUGUGGCGAAGGCGACUAUCUGGGCCAACACUGACACUGAGGCACGAAAGCGUGGGGAGCAAACAGGAUUAGAUACCCCCGUAGUCCCUGUCUCUUAUAC